CCUACGGGUGGCAGCAGUGGGGAAUAUUGCACAAUGGGGGAAACCCUGAUGCAGCAACGCCGCGUGAGUGAUGACGGCCUUCGGUUUGUAAAGCUCUGUCUGCAGGGAAGAUAAUGACGGUACCUGAGGAAGAAGCCACGGCUAAAUACGUGCCAGCAGCCGCGGUAAUACGUAGGUGGCGAGCGUUGUCCGGAUUUACUGGGUGUAAAGGGAGAGUAGGUGGAAUUGUAAGUGAGAAGUGAAAUACCCAGGCUCAACUUGAGGACUGCAUUAGAAACUGGAAGGCUAGAGUGCAGGAGAGGAGAAUGGAAUUCUUAGUGUAGCGGUGAAAUGCGUAGAUAUUAGGAGGAACACCAGUGGCGAAGGCGGUUCGCUGGACUGUAACUGACGCUGAGGCUCGAAAGCGUGGGGAGCAAACAGGAUUAGAUACCCGUGUAGUC
rnacentral:rRNA from 1 species